CCGCCACCUACGUCAUGACGCAACUGUCCAAACCCCUCCCACGUUGAGCCAUGUGUGAGUGAGAUUUUUCUUCACGGGUCCCUCGCUGCUGAAAUCUCGGAUGAUUGAGGACGAUCAAUAGAUGAGGCUCCGGACUCUCCACUGAGUGAGCUUUGACAUGUCGGCAGUCAAAGGGAUCAAACACAAAGGUCAUUAAAUGCUGACGCUUUGGAUUGGAUUGGCAAUGGAUGUGAAAUGGUGAAAUACAAAUGAAUGACAGACAUGACAGUGAGCCAGCAUGCACUUUACCAGGAGCAUGAAAACUGAUGCAGUUCAGAGGAGUAACAACACAAUUUGACUUGUUUAAGGGAGAAAAGUACCGGCUCCAUUCUAUUCAGUUUCCCAGUAUGUCCUACCACUAAGUGAGCAGGCACAAUGUAGAGCCGUCAUUCAUGUUCCAUAUUUCACCUGUUGUUUUCCAGCUGUAAAAAGUCAAAA